CCCCGCUCCAGGGCCAUACAGUGAGAGACAGAGCACACCAGAAAUUCAGAUGAAUGCUGUCUAAGCUGGGGCAUCCUCACACAGUGGACGAAUAAAAAGCCUGAAGAGCCUGAGAGGUGGAAAUAUUGUCCUUACAAAGCAGCAGGAAGGCAAGCAAAGAAGCAAACACUACAGUUCAGGAGUAUUAAAAAGAUUAUGACAACUCUUGGGCUUUGAAGGGUUUUUUGGAGGCCCCUCCCUACUUCAAGUGAAAAACACACGAGAAGGCAUCCAACCAGCACGAACAGGCUCUGGAACAUUAAAAUCAGAAGAGAAGAACACCAUUUUAUCCUAGCAGCUCUUCUGCUAUAACCUCCCCAGGAUCCUACUCCCCAGGAAGGAGUUGUCUUUCAGGAAUAACUCAUCUUGUAAUUGCCAUUUCAAGAAUUACAAGAAAAGUUGUUGUUGAUCUCCAUAUGGGUGACCUCACUGAAGGUCCCAGGAGAGACCCUCACAGAUUCCAUGGGCAACACUCCAAGGCCAGGGAUGUAUACCAGCUUCCCUUGGGACAAUGAUCUUCACUCUCUAUCCUUAGGCCUCAAGAUUCAGCUAAGUUCAGGAUCUGGCCCACAGUCCUAUCAUGAAGUAUACUAAAUCUGGAAUAAACAUACCAUUGUUCUUCUUGUAUAAUGACUGUACUGCUGCCCCCAAAAUACAGGCACAAAGACAUUUAAGAAAAUGAAGACAGAUGCCCCACAUCCAUCUUUUAACCAACUGUUAUUCAUCCCGAUAUACUAACUUGCAUCUUCCUGGCUUGUUGGGGCUGAGAAAUAAUGUAUCAUAGAAUCACAGAAUUAUGGAAUAUUUUGAAUUGGAAGGAACCUUCAGAGGUCUCCAAGUUCCACCCCUCUGCAAUUAACAUGGAAAUGCACAGCUAGAUCAGGUUGUUUAGAGCCCUGUCCAGCCUGGCCUUGAAUGUCUCCAGAAACAGGGCAUCUAUCACAUCUUUAGGCAACUUGUUCCAGAGCAAUGGCUCUUGAUCAUUAGGAGUAAAUGGGAGAGAUGCAAGGAAUGCGAAGGUCUGGCUCAGCACAGCAUAACAAGACUCCUGGACAUCCAUAGAGCACCUUCUGUUUGUGCAGCAGGCAGCAAGCAAAUCUCUGACAUUGCCUCAAAUAUUCUUAGCAAUGGGAGCAAACACUGCCUCUGGGCUCCAGCAGGUCACAUACACAACCCAGCCAAUUUAAAGACAGGCUUGCUCUAAUUUAUCUCCUCUUGAGGUGUAAAGUAUACAAGUAAUUACAAUCAGACUUUGAUAAAAAGUUUUGUGUAUGUCCAUUAUUGUUGUAUUGUUGUAUUGUUGACCUAAAACUCUAGGCUCUGAUACUUCCUGAAAUGAACUCUUCUUUGAUGGCAGAGAUGAAAUUUGCAGUCUAAUUUGGUAAAUGCUUAUUUAAAUUUGUGCAG